rnacentral:rRNA from 1 species
CAGUAGCCGCGGUAAUACGAAGGGUGCAAGCGUUAAUCGGAAUUACUGGGCGUAAAGCGUGCGUAGGCGGUGAGUUAAGUCUGCUGUGAAAUCCCCGGGCUCAACCUGGGAAUGGCAGUGGAUACUGGCUCGCUAGAGUGUGUCAGAGGAUGGUGGAAUUCCCGGUGUAGCGGUGAAAUGCAUAGAGAUCGGGAGGAACAUCAGUGGCGAAGGCGGCCAUCUGGGACAACACUGACGCUGAGGCACGAAAGCGUGGGGAGCAAACAGGAUUAGAGACCCCUGUAGUCCCUGUCUCUUAUAC